GACGAACGCUGGCGGCGUGCCUAACACAUGCAAGUCGAGCGAGGAACUUCGGUUCCUAGCGGCGGACGGGUGAGUAACACGUGGGUAACCUGGCUCAUAGAGGGGGAUAGCCUUCCGAAAGGGAGAUUAAUACCGCAUAAGAAGUAAGAAUCGCAUGGUUCAAGCUUUAAAGGAGUAAUCCGCUAUGAGAUGGGCCCGCGGCGCAUUAGCUAGUUGGUGAGGUAACGGCUCACCAAGGCGACGAUGCGUAGCCGACCUGAGAGGGUGAUCGGCCACAUUGGAACUGAGACACGGUCCAGACUCCUAUGGGAGGCAGCAGUGGGGAAUAUUGCACAAUGGGCGAAAGCCUGAUGCAGCAACGCCGCGUGAGUGAUGACGGCCUUCGGGUUGUAAAGCUCUGUCUUUGGGGACGAUAAUGACGGUACCCAAGGAGGAAGCCACGGCUAACUACGUGCCAGCAGCCGCGGUAAGAC
rnacentral:rRNA from 1 species